GACGAACGCUGGCGGCGUGCCUAAUACAUGCAGGUCGAACGCUGAAGGAGGAGCUUGCUUCUCUGGAUGAGUUGCGAACGGGUGAGUAACGCGUAGGUAACCUGCCUGGUAGCGGGGGAUAACUAUUGGAAACGAUAGCUAAUACCGCAUAAUAUUGACUAUUGCAUGAUAGUCAGUUGAAAGGUGCAACUGCACCACUACCAGAUGGACCUGCGUUGUAUUAGCUAGUUGGUGGGGUAACGGCUCACCAAGGCGACGAUACAUAGCCGACCUGAGAGGGUGAUCGGCCACACUGGGACUGAGACACGGCCCAGACUCCUACGGGAGGCAGCAGUAGGGAAUCUUCGGCAAUGGACGGAAGUCUGACCGAGCAACGCCGCGUGAGUGAAGAAGGUUGUCGGAUCGUAAAGCUCUGUUGUAAGAGAAGAGCGAGUGUGAGAGUGGAAAGCUCACACUGUGACGGUAGCUGACCAGAAAGGGACGGCUAACUACGUG
rnacentral:rRNA from 1 species